ensembl:lncRNA
AUUCAGCACAGACCGAAGAAAGACUAAGCAGUUGGUCCUUUUUAUUGCAGUUGAAAUCUGGCCCGAUCUGGCAACCCUUUUUAGAAUCAAACACUGAAUAAAGUUCCCAAGACAUGUGGGGAGGUGAGACAGUUUCUGUUUGUAGCACAGGGGUGUUGGGUGUGGGGGUGUCUCCUGCGUGGGCUAGACACAUGGGUCUCCAGGGGAGCUAGCAGGCUACAGGCUUACCUCACUCUUGGUUGAUGAUGGUGAAACUGAGAAUGAGGAAUGCCACAGGACUUCAUUUUUCAUUAAAUUAGGAGCACUCUAAGGUCAAAUACAGCUGUCAGAAACCCAGUUCCAACCGGCUUAAGUAAAAAAGUGAAUCUGUGGGUUCUUGGGGCUAUGAAGUGCCUGAUUCUAGCUUCAGGCAUGGCUUGAUCUAGGGGUCUUAGAUUGGAUACCUUAGAGACAGAGCUUGCAAUGGGGAUUCUUGUGCAAUGAAUUAUUGAGAAAAUGCUCUCAGGAAGAGUUGCAAGGGAAUGAAUCUGUAAGUAGGAUAGAGUGAAAGAAACAGCCAGCGAAGCCUGCUGUUUCAGCUGGAAUCUAGCUUCAGCCUGACCCCACAAGGAGCUCUGGAGUGUAGAUAACAUUACAGAGCUGUCUCACCCCACAAGGAGCUCUGGAGUGGAGAUAACAUUACAGAGCUGUCUCACCCCACAAGGAGCUCUGGAGUGGAGAUAACAUUACAGAGCUGUCUCACCCCACAAGGAGCUCUGGAGUGGAGAUAACAUUACAGAGCCGUCUCAGCCCACAAGGAGCUCUGGAGUGGAGAUAACAUUACAGAGCCGUCUCAGCCCACAAGGAGCUCUGGAGUGGAGAUCACAUUACAGAGCCGUCUCACCCCACAAGGAGCUCUGGAGUGGAGAUCACAUUACAGAGCCGUCUCACCCCACAAGGAGCUCUGGAGUGGAGAUCACAUUACAGAGCCGUCUCAGCCCACAAGGAGCUCUGGAGUGGAGAUCACAUUACAGAGCCGUCUCAGCCCACAAGGAGCUCUGGAGUGGAGAUCACAUUACAGAGCCGUCUCAGCCCACAAGGAGCUCUGGAGUGGAGAUCACAUCACAGAGCUGUCUCACCCCACAAGGAGCUCUGGAGUGGAGAUCACAUUACAGAGCUGUCUCAGCCCACAAGGAGCUCUGGAGUGGAGAUCACAUUACAGAGCCGUCUCAGCCCACAAGGAGCUCUGGAGUGGAGAUCACAUUACAGAGCCGUCUCAGCCCACAAGGAGCUCUGGAGUGGAGAUCACAUUACAGAGCCGUCUCAGCCCACAAGGAGCUCUGGAGUGGAGAUCACAUCACAGAGCUGUCUCACCCCACAAGGAGCUCUGGAGUGGAGAUCACAUCACAGAGCUGUCUCACCCCACAAGGAGCUCUGGAGUGGAGAUCACAUCACAGAGCUGUCUCACCCCACAAGGAGCUCUGGAGUGGAGAUCACAUCACAGAGCUGUCUCACUCUAAGGCAAGAAGCUUGGCCUUUGGUACUUUCGUAUUAGUCUGUCAUUGACUGUGUGCUGUCUCUGAAAUGGAGCACAUAACCUCCUGGGACUUUCUGGACAAAGUGACUUUCUUUGGCUAAAGGUAAUUCUCUGAAAAUUUCAACUGUGAGCUGUUAGCAAUCCUCAGUUACAGUCAGUUCUUACAGAUGGGUGCAGUCUGGUAGCGGGGAUCUGGGCAAGGUAUCAACCUUGUCUACAUCAAGGGGCUCAAGCAAUGACCUAGGGUUUCACCUCUCACCCUACUUCUGAGGUUUACUUCUUGGCUCCAUUCUCAAAUAGCAUGGGGACAAGGUGACCACCAAAGGCCCUGAGCUCUCCUUAUGUCUCCCAUGCAGCUUAUAUAGAAGCCUGAUCUCGCCUGGUGUUAAGUACUGAGUUUCCUGGAUUAGCCCCACAUGACUUCAUGCUCACCUUGCUGUUGGAGACGGUGGUAGUGUCAGCUCUAAUUAAACCUCAAGGAUGUUUCCCCACAAUGGGUUUAUCUUUCUAAAAGAGGGAUGGAUGCUGAAUAGGCAAAAAACAGCAGUGAUCCCCUGCUGGGCUCUGAACUCCUGUUUUAAGUCAGAAGGCAGGGAAUAGCAUGUGUGUGGCUGAAGGAUGCUAAGUAGCACCACACCCUUGGGGUAGCAAAAGUGGGCUAGAUCCCUGGGAGGAGGAAGUUUGGGAGGGAGCAGAUGGGGAGGAAUGAGAAAUACACAAGGGUAGCUCGUGGAGGGCCUCAUGAACUAACAGAGGAGUAUCAACUUGAUCCUGAAAAAUGUGCGUUCGGCUUGAGGUUCAUCUGAGUCUCUACUGUCCUUUUCUUAUACCAUUCUUCCCCCAGGUGUCUGGUAUCAACCCACCAAUAAGGCUAGAGAUUUUGGGCUCAAACCCAGCCAGUGCCAAUAUCAAAGGGACCCAUUUGAAGGGCAGAUUCCAAAGGAUUCCAGGGACAGAAUCUGGUAGCAAGUUUGCUGGGCAGUGGUCCCAUGAACUGGAGAUGGGGAGGAGUCGGAGGGCAUCACCUCUGACGUUUGAGGUCAUUGUCCAUCUAAAACAGAUCUCAGUCCAAAGCUGGGUUGAUGAGAUGUUGACCAAGUCUGAGCAGUCAGUCCCAGAUGGAUUGGGAUCAGAGUCAGCCCCAUCUUGAGGGGAAUAUAUUGUUCUUUUUCAGGAAAUUAAGACAGAAACCCAGCUAUGGGGGUCAGACCAGCUCACAACAGAGAGAAACCGAAGAUUACAGUUCUUCUCAGGGAGCAAGUGGGACUCCAACCCUCUCUCCAUGGGGAGAGACCCAUGAAGGUGCCAGGGGUUAGGAAGAGAGAUAUAUUGGUUCAGGUUACUCUUGCAGCUGUAACAAAUAACCUCCAUCAUUUCAGUACCCUCAUAUGAGUGUUUUCACCAUUUGGAUACUCAAGUUCCUUCUGUCGUGUAGGUCCAUCAUUCCCCAGCAUCUGCAUCUAGGCAGAAGAAGGGAAGAGGGAGAAAGCACACCUGCUUCUUAACCUCCUUGCCUAAGAGAGACACAGAUCACUUUUGCUCAUACGCAAUUGGGGAGAACCGGUCACAUGACUUCACGUAGCAGCAAAGGUAGCUGGGAAUUAUAGUUCCUGCUGGGCUGAAGGCCUCAGGGAGAACUCUUAUAUCACAGAAGGGGAGCUUGCAUUUUGAUGAGCAGUGGCCACCCCUGCCCUGGGAGCCUAGCAGACGCCCUAUCAGAAAGAGGUCUCAGUGAGCCCAGCUGAGGGGUGGGAUCAUGUCUUUGCCCUGCUGACAAGCAGUUCUCCUGUAUACAACUUGGCCCCUGAAAUUGUCUGAAUGGAUUUGAGCACUUUCCAACCCAACAGACUGUGGAAUUGGACUAAGGUGAUAAGGACUCAGUGAAACGUGGAGCCUUGCAAAGUACACAGGAAAAAUAAGUGAAUGCAUGAAAUGACAAUUUCCUGACAGUGGGACCUAGGUUCUGGGAACAGCUUCUGAGUACACAGGGUUUGCGAUAAAUCCGGUUUUUCUCCUGUAGCUUCUGUUUGUGCUCAGGUUGUGUUUGAUCAACUCGAUUUCUGUUUGGAAUCAAGGAUCUUCUCCUGCUCGCUUAUUCCUGGCCUUCUCCUGGAGCCGUAGUGCCUCUGUGUAAGGCUGAAUUCAUAGCCCGAGGACAUUGUCUCAGCAGCUCCUUGUAAUGAUCUAAAUAUAGACGCCUCACCUCAGGUGCAGAGCAAGCAGAGGAGAGACUGCUUUGCAGACUCCUUGCUGCGGCAUCCUUGGUCGAGGGCUGGAGGACAAGAUUCCAGUCUGGGUCUCUCCACUUACUCUGCGAUCUUGACAAGUGACAAGGCCUUUAGCCCUGUUCCUUUAUCUGUAAAACUGGAACAGCCGCCAUGACGAAAAUGGAUGAGUCCAAAAGAGUGUGUAAAAAGUGCUGUGUCAGCAUUAGUGAUCAUGGCAGUGUCCAUGGGUGGGUUAAAGCACAGACUCUGGAGCCAGCCCUCGAACCCUGAUUAGCAUCCAGGCUUUGCUGCUUUCUAACUCUGUGACUCAGUAGCUGCCCUGGAUCCAGUCAAUUGUCUGCACCCCAGUGCUCCUAGUAGACUCUGCCCCCGUGGACUGCAGACUUCUCAAGGCUCCGAGUGUUCGUCUUGGAAACCAGGCUCCCAGGCCCUCCCAGCUGCCAUCUCACACUUCUGUGAUUUACACGUGCAGGUGUGAGGGCAGCACCCGUUAGAAAUAUACACCAGGCGGGUUUUACUUUUGCACCAUAAAAAUGGAUACAUCUGCCAUCCAUAAAGGCUUAUUUAUUGCUAAGAGUUCAUUAUAUAUGCAUGAAAAACCAACUAAUUUAACUCUCUGGCAGUAACUACCUGCCUGAGGCUGGAUACAGGAUUGGAAUUCAGGGUUAAAUGGGGGCAGCUGAGAUGAGCUUGAGAGACUUGGACCUACAGCCGGAUGCUAAGGGUUGGGAGGUGUAAGGCACGUUCCAAUCCUGGCCUGGCAAGGGGUAUGACUGUAGUGCAUUGGAUGAUGCCCACCCGCAUUGAAGAGGAUAAUCUCUGCUCAGUCUGUUUGUUCUAACUUGAAUUUCUACUGGAGAUACCCUCACAGACCCACACAGGAAUAAUGUGCUACCAAGUAUCUGGGCAUCCCUCAUCCCAGUCAAAUUGGCACAUGAAAGGAACCAUCACAGUCUGGAAAUAGUUUGUUGAUGGAAAUGUGGGUCUUGCCGUUGUGCCAUGGGAAUCCCUAGCAAGUUUAGUCAUGUACAGCCACAACCACACCUCGAUGCCUACCUUGCCUGGCUGCUGCUGGACACACCCCCAUUUCAGAGAUGUUAGAGUGGGACAAGAAGAUGCAUCUAGACUCAAAUGUGAUAGAUGAACAUGCUGCUCGAUGAGUCUGGCAUAUGCGAAUGCAGAGGAAAUUAACAUGUGCUGCGUGCCCUCUAUGUACAGAUGUAUUAGUUAGCUCAGGCUGCUGUAACAAAUACCAGAGAGUGGGUGGCUUACACAGCAGAAACUCACUUUUUCCACCUAGAGACUAGAAGUCUGAGGUUGGUGUCAGUAGGGCUGGUUUCUUCUGAGGCUUCUCUCUUUGGCUUGUAGAUGAGUAACUUUGGUAACUUCACAGUCUUUCCUCUGUGACACUAGCCGUGUUGGAUUAGGGUCCACCCUAAUGACCACAUUUCAGCUUAAUCACCUUCCCUACCACCAAAGGCAUUCACAUUUGGAGGUCCUGGGGCUUAGGGUUUCAACGUAGGAAUUUGGAGUGAGGGACAAUCAGCCCCUAACACAGGCCCAGCAUGGCUACUUUGUAAACAGGAUCUCCCUUCAGC